GGGAAAAGCUCAAAUUUAAAAUCUGGUGGUCUUUGGCCAUCCGAGUUGUAAUCUAGAGAAGUGUUACCCGCGUCGGACCGUGUAUAAGUCUCCUGGAAUGGAGCGUCAUAGAGGGUGAGAAUCCCGUCUUUGACACGGACUACCGAGGCUUUGUGGUGCGCUCUCAACGAGUCGAGUUGUUUGGGAAUGCAGCUCAAAAUGGGUGGUAAAUUCCAUCUAAAGCUAAAUAUUGGCGAGAGACCGAUAGCGAACAAGUACCGUGAGGGAAAGAUGAAAAGAACUUUGGAAAGAGAGUUAAACAGUACGUGAAAUUGCUGAAAGGGAAACRCUUGAAGUCAGUCGCGUUGGCCGGAAAUCAGCCUUGCUUUUGCUGGGUGUACUUUCUGGUUGACGGGCCAGCAUCAGUUUUGACCGGUGGAAAAAGUCAGAGGGAAUGUGGCAUCUUCGGAUGUGUUAUAGCCCUUUGUCGUAUACAUCGGUUGGGACUGAGGAACUCAGCACGCCGAAAGGCCGGGUCUUUGACCACGUUCGUGCUUAGGAUGCUGGCAUAAUGGCUUUAAUCGACCCGU
rnacentral:rRNA from 1 species